rnacentral:lncRNA from 1 species
UCCUUCUUUCAAAACGGAUGCCUGUGAGUGAGUCUGUGAUGUGUAAUGGUGGAUGGCCGGGUGGGUGGGGACCACACACACACAGGCGCAGUCUGACACGCAAACCAGGCCAGGCUGUCAUAACAGCUUCAUAAGAGCUUAUAACAGCUUAUAACACACCAUGCAUAUGCUCCUGUACUCCUACACGGAAACACAUAGACAGUAACACUGUCCUCCAAUCUCUCACAGCCUCCAUAUUACAAACAUAUAAAAAGAGCAUGACUGUGGAAUGUUUCAACCUCUACCAGGCCCCUUACAGUCAUCCAUCGAGCACCCUUCUACUCCCAGCCCCCCUUCCCUCCUCCUGUUCUCCUCCUCUCUGCCUCUUCGCUCCCUCUCUCGGGGAGCAGGGUGGGUGUGUGUCUGUGCUUGUCACCCUCUGAGGGUGUAGGUGCUGCUUGCGUUCUUUCCUCCAAUAAUCCUAAGAGUUGAUUCUUAAAUCUACUACAGCCAGUUCAAGUCUGAGAGGCUGAGUCAUCAAUGGUUAGUGCUCAGUACCUCCUCACCAAUCUGUCUUUCUCCCGGAGCUACUGACAGACUGACAGUACAUGGCCAGUCUUAGUAUUCAAAUCAUUUACAGUUUGAAAUGAAACCUUUCCAUCUCUAGUUGUUGCUUUAAAAAUAAAAAGAUAGCACUAAAGAAAUUGCACUUGGACAACAGAGCCAAACAGCAGUCACUUCACUGUGUGUGUUGUGUGUUUUAUAUAGACCUUCUGUUUUAAUGCCUUCUGCUGGAGACUCUGUUGUGUGACUAAGCUCACACACACACACAGACAGAUUGCUGGGUCACUCACGCUGUACGUCGUCUUGACUGACGAUACCUUUUUUUAUUUAAAUGUCUCCUUCCUCCAAUUUCGCAGAGGGAACACAAAAAAAACGCAGCUUCUGUUUCCCUGGGACAUCAUCAGAGCGUCACACAGUUACUCACACAGACUGCAUUCCCCUCCCCCUAGGACAGAGUGCUAUGAACUUCAGACUGAACCGAACCAGACUGAAGCAGGCCAAACCAGUCCAGAACAAAGACCUGGGUCUUAUUUUCCUCCUUCAGGCAUAACCAGACUAAAACAGGACAGAGAAAUGUC